GGAGUAAAGUCGAUCGUGACAGGAAGAAGUCUGAAAGAGAUUUAGAGGAUAGUCGAUCAUUGUAGAAAAUCGGCUAAUAGUGAAGUUCAGAAAGCGUUUGGAGCAGUCUGGUAGAUGAAUGGAAGAGCUCAUUAUCGAAAAAGUCCGGAUGGUAUUAUGGAAGCUCGGACAGUCGGGGGAGUUCAGAAAGAUGCCGCACAAGGUCGGAAGCCGGAAGAGCCCAGGGAGGGUCGG
rnacentral:lncRNA from 1 species